AAUAUAGUGCCUGAAUAAAGGAUAGUUUUGAUAGAACUAAUCAUGUAAUCUCUUUACCUAUAUUA
rnacentral:tRNA from 1 species